AUUGAACGCUGGCGGCAUGCCUUACACAUGCAAGUCGAACGGUAACGGGCCUUCGGGUGCCGACGAGUGGCGAACGGGUGAGUAAUGUAUCGGAACGUACCUUUCAGUGGGGGAUAACGUAGCGAAAGUUACGCUAAUACCGCAUAUUCUGUGCGCAGGAAAGCAGGGGAUCGCAAGACCUUGCGCUGAUUGAGCGGCCGAUAUCAGAUUAGCUAGUUGGUGAGGUAAAGGCUCCACCAAGGCGACGAUCGGUAGCUGGUCUGAGAGGAUGAUCAGCCACACUGGGACUGAGACACGGCCCAGACUCCUACGGGAGGCAGCAGUGGGGAAUAUUGGACAAUGGGCGCAAGCCUGAUCCAGCAAUGCCGCGUGGGUGAAGAAGGCCUGCGGGUUGUAAAGCCCUUUAAGCGGGGAGGAAAGCCGGGGUGUGAAUAGCGCCUCGGGGUGACGUUACCGCAGAAUAAGCACCGGCUAACUCGUGCCAGCAGCCG
rnacentral:rRNA from 1 species